CCUACGGGGUGCAGCAGUGGGGAAUAUUGCGCAAUGGGCGAAAGCCUGACGCAGCGACGCCGCGUGAGGGAUGAAGGUCUUCGGAUCGUAAACCUCUGUCAGCAGGGAAGAACGGUCACUGUGCUAAUCAGCAGUGAAUUGACGGUACCUGCAAAGGAAGCACCGGCUAACUCCGUGCCAGCAGCCGCGGUAAUACGGAGGGUGCGAGCGUUAAUCGGAAUUACUGGGCGUAAAGCGCUCGUAGGCGGUAUGUCAAGUCAAGGGUGAAAUCCCCGCGCUCAACGUGGGAACUGCCUUUGAAACUGGCAAACUGGAGUGUGUGAGAGGAUAGUGGAAUUCCAGGUGGAGGAGUGAAAGCCGUAGAUAUCUGGAGGAACAUCAGUGGCGAAGGCGACUAUCUGGCACAUAACUGACGCUGAGGAGCGAAAGCGUGGGUAGCAAACAGGAUUAGAUACCCCAGUAGUC
rnacentral:rRNA from 1 species